rnacentral:rRNA from 1 species
UACAGAGGGGGCAAGCGUUGUUCGGAAUUACUGGGCGUAAAGGGCGCGUAGGCGGCCUGCUAAGUCGAACGUGAAAUCCCUGGGCUCAACCCAGGAACUGCGUCCGAUACUGGUUGGCUUGAAUCCGGGAGAGGGAUGUGGAAUUCCAGGUGUAGCGGUGAAAUGCGUAGAUAUCUGGAGGAACACCGGUGGCGAAGGCGGCGUUCUGGACUGCAACUGACACUGAAAAACGAAAGCCAGGGGAGCAAACGGG